ensembl:lncRNA
UCAGCGGCUUCGCGGACGAGGAUCAGUCAACUGCAGAAGCCGGACCAAGCUGAAGGUAAGGAUGCUGGUGAGAUGGCGAAUGGAGCUCUUUCCGGAUCAACUUAACUUGGUUAGAUGAAGUUAAAUAAUUAAGAAGAAACACGGGAAGAAAGGGGAAGAAUCUCCAAUGACCUUUUCGCUUUCAUUUUUUGAGAUGCUGUAUUCAGAGGCCUGGUGUUCAAGGCCAGGUGUGGCAAGCUGGACGAGGCUUUGUCAUUUACCAAGGUGUUCGCCGCUUUGCUGCCUCACAGAGGCUGUGCUUUUCAAUUCAGAGCUUCCAGUGGACUGUGACAAGUGCUGCAAACCCAUUUGUGCCUCCUGCACUUGUGUGUAGCCUCACAUGAGAUAAACACCCCCUCCUCUCUGCUGGUUAUAAAUUGGAUCUUUGUGUCAUUGUUAAGUGAGAAGGUAAGGGCACAAUACAGUUUAAGAUAACAGCAGACUUGUGCUAGAUGCCUGAAUGAAGCUAGAACAGUAAAAGCCCUGUCCUGUUUUCAACAGGAUGUGUGUGCAUUGUACCUGGAGCAUAUUUUUUGACAGAAGAUCAUUCAUAAAAGGCACUGCACUGCAGAAAGUAAAUAGUGCAACUGAAGGAAAACAAAUGUGUUGAAACACUAAUGUCUAUUUAGCCCCUUUGGGAUAUAGUAAGAAUGUUAAUGCAGCUUAGUUGUGGAGCAAUGACAUCUUGGCCUCUAGGCUCAAUUUAUAUCAGGUUAACAUUUUAAGAAUCAUAAUUUUUAAAACAUUUAAACAUUUUUUCUCAUUCUCCUAUUAUACAAAUCAAUUCAAAAUAUAAACUAUAUUUCUCAAUAUUCAUUCUCACUCUGCUAUUUACAUUGACAGACUUUUCCCUGACUGUAUCAUUCAGUAAUUCCAUUUGACUUUUUGAGUCCAUUGGUACUUUAUUUUUGUUAAUUUCAUAUUCAGUCCUUGCUGAGGUUUCUCCUGUGGACAACAGACUCUUUCCUCAUCCUGAAUCCUGGGUAAUUUUCCAUACUUACAGCUAUACCUCUAAUAAUUGGUUUUCCAUCUGCCUCCCUUUUUUCCUAUCCCUUAGGUCUUCCUAUAAUGCCCUUUGAUGCUGAUUGCUGAGUCUGUACCACUAAGAAUUAAGAAGGAAUGCUCAUCAAUGCUUAUUUGAAUAGAAUAAAAGAAACAUGAUAGCAGAUCAUCAAGACUUCUGGCUAAUUCUCUCUCUCUCUCUAGGACAAGCAUCCAUACAUCAUCUGGUAACUUCAGGCACUAGGGAGAGUUCUUAACAAAAGGGAAAGGAAGGGAGAAAGAGAUGUUAGGUUGUUCAUGUGAAGAGGUACUUGGGGUACUGAGAAUCUCAACCUGGGGAGAAUAGCAUGGGGUACAGCCAUCCAGUUGAGUGAGGUGUAUCCUGCAGGUUCUUCCAGGCCAUUAGAAGAAGUUUUGAAUGUAUUCAGAACCUAACAGGAAGUUACUGAAAGAGUUUAGAUAGAAGAAUGGUAUUACCAAUUAACUCUGUUUUCGAAAGAUUCUUCUGAGUGUGUCAAGAAAAAUGAAUGAAGAGGAUGACAAAGAUAAAAGCUAAAAGACAAGAUGCUCAAAGAAAGUUAAGGGUCCCUGGCGCAGGGUCAAAGAUUCUGCUCAUGAGUAUUUGUGGACAUCUCUCAAAUAGCAUCUUCAAACCAGGACACAAAAAUGAGGUUUCUAUUUCUAGAUUUUCUUUCCCCUCCGUUACCGCAGAGGAAUUUCUAUUAGCAGACAGCAAAGUCUCCAGAAAAAUCAGAAAGUUAGAAUGAUGGUGGUACAAGUAUAUCUCUCUUCAAAAAAAUUUAUUUGCUUAUUUUUGGCUAUGCUGGGUCUUUGAGGCUGCGUGAACUUUCUCUAGUUGCGGCGAGUGAGGGCCACUCUUCAUUGUGGUGUUCGAGCUUCUCACUGAGGUGGCUUCUCUUGCUGCGGAGACAGACUCUAGGCACGUGCGCUCAGUAGUUCCAGCUUGCAGGUGUAGUUACUCUGGGACAUAUGAGAUCUUCCCGGACCAGGGAUAAAACCCUUGUCCUCUGCAUUGGCAGGUAGACUCUUAACCACUGGACCACCAAGGGAAUCCAAGUAUGUCUCUUCUUAUAUUUCUCAAGGCUUGGUGUCCCACUGUAACUUGGGACGUAACUUGGGAUGUCAUCUAGAUUCCCAGUUCCAGUAUCUUGCUAUUUUGUGAACUGUUGUGUCUUUUUAUUUAUAAAGGAAGAAAAAUUUCC